GAUGAACGCUGGCGGCGUGCCUAAUACAUGCAAGUCGAGCGAACGGACGAGAAGCUUGCUUCUCUGAUGUUAGCGGCGGACGGGUGAGUAACACGUGGAUAACCUACCUAUAAGACUGGGAUAACUUCGGGAAACCGGAGCUAAUACCGGAUAAUAUUUUGAACCGCAUGGUUCAAAAGUGAAAGACGGUCUUGCUGUCACUUAUAGAUGGAUCCGCGCUGCAUUAGCUAGUUGGUAAGGUAACGGCUUACCAAGGCAACGAUGCAUAGCCGACCUGAGAGGGUGAUCGGCCACACUGGAACUGAGACACGGUCCAGACUCCUACGGGAGGCAGCAGUAGGGAAUCUUCCGCAAUGGGCGAGAGCCUGACGGAGCAACGCCGCGUGAGUGAUGAAGGUCUUCGGAUCGUAAAACUCUGUUAUUAGGGAAGAACAUAUGUGUAAGUAACUGUGCACAUCUUGACGGUACCUAAUCAGAAAGCCACGGCUAACUACGU
rnacentral:rRNA from 1 species